rfam:Myotis brandtii contig261828, whole genome shotgun sequence.
AGAGGCCCUCUGAGGCCAGGGUAGGAUGCUUGCCUCGUCGCCACGGCAAUGAAGCAAGCGUUCUGCCAGGCCGCUCAUGCUGCCCGC